rnacentral:rRNA from 1 species
CACCGCGGUUAUACGAGAAGCCCAAGUUGACAAACCAACGGCAUAAAAAGUGGUUAGUAUUUUAUAAAACUAAAGCCAAACACCUUCAAAGUCGUCAUACACUCCUGAAGGAGGGAAGUUCCCCCACGAAAGUGACUUUAAGCUAUACAACCCCACGAAAGCUAGGGAA